UCUGUCUCCUUAGCUCUUAAUCUUUGUGGCUCUCUGGUUCCUUGGGCCCCCAGGCAGGGAAUCCACAUAUAACCCCAGCACUCCCUUUUACCCGAAAUGAUCCAUUUGGUCAAGACCUAUCUGGGGCAUGUCCUUGGUGGCUGCAAGUCAAAGCCAUGGUGUUUUUAGUUUUGUUUUUUUUUAAUUUUUCCAAAUAAUGAAUAUGAUUUCUGUCAAGAGAGGCAUGGUUCUGUCUGGUGGUGUAUUAUUACAAAUCUGCUAUGGAUGUAAAGAAAAAUAAACUACUUAUUUUCUUGAUAA
rnacentral:lncRNA from 1 species